rnacentral:rRNA from 1 species
UCGGGAAUUUUGGGCAAUGGGCGAAAGCCUGACCCAGCAACGCCGCGUGAGGGAUGAAGUAUUUCGGUAUGUAAACCUCGAAAGAAUGGGAAGAAUAAAUGACGGUACCAUUUAUAAGCUCCGGCUAACUACGUGCCAGCAGCCGCGGUAAUACGUAGGGAGCAAGCGUUGUUCGGAUUUACUGGGCGUAAAGGGCGCGCAGGCGGAAUGGUGAGGCAGUGGUGAAAUCCUACAGCUUAACUGUAGAACUGUCUUUGAUACUUUCACUCUUGAGUUCGGGAGAGAGCGACGGAAUUCCAGGUGUGGUGGUGAAAUACGUAGAUAUCUGGAAGAACACCAGGUGCGAAGGCGGUCUCUUGGUCCGAUACUGACGCUGAGGCGCGAAAGCGUGGGGAGCAAACA